UGGUGCCAGCAGCCGCGGUAAUUCCAGCUCCAAUAGCGUAUAUUAAAGUUGUUGCAGUUAAAAAGCUCGUAGUUGAAUUUCGGGAUCAUCAGGUUGGUCGUGCCAUCGGUAUGUACUAGCUUUGGUGGUUCCUACCUCUUGAAGAACCGUAAUGUCAUUAACUUGGUGUUGCGGGGAAUCAGGACUGUUACUUUGAAAAAAUUAGAGUGUUUAAAGCAGGCAAACGCUUGAAUACAUUAGCAUGGAAUAAUGAAAUAGGACGUUUGAUCUUAUUUUGUUGGUUUCUAGGAUCGACGUAAUGAUUAAUAGGGAUAGUUGGGGGCAUUAGUAUUCAAUUGUCAGAGGUGAAAUUCUUGGAUUUAUUGAAGACUAACUACUGCGAAAGCAUUUGCCAAGGAUGUUUUCAUUAAUCAAGAACGAAAGUUAGGGGAUCGAAGACGAUCAGAUACCGUCGUAGUCUUAACCAUAAACUAUGCCGACUAGGGA
rnacentral:rRNA from 2 species